GAUGAACGCUGGCGGCGUGCCUAAUACAUGCAAGUCGAGCGAACGGACGAGAAGCUUGCUUCUCUGAUGUUAGCGGCGGACGGGUGAGUAACACGUGGAUAACCUACCUAUAAGACUGGGAUAACUUCGGGAAACCGGAGCUAAUACCGGAUAAUAUUUUGAACCUCAUGGUUCAAAAGUGAAAGACGGUCUUGCUGUCACUUAUAGAUGGAUCCGCGCUGCAUUAGCUAGUUGGUAAGGUAACGGCUUACCAAGGCAACGAUGCAUAGCCGACCUGAGAGGGUGAUCAGCCACACUGGAACUGAGACACGGUCCAGACUCCUACGGGAGGCAGCAGUAGGGAAUCUUCCGCAAUGGGCGAAAGCCUGACGGAGCAACGCCACGUGAGUGAUGAAGGUCUUCGGAUCGUAAAACUCUGUUAGUAGGGAAGAACAUAUGUGUAAGUAACUGUGCACAUCUUGACGGUACCUAAUCAGAAAGCAACGGCUAACUACGUG
rnacentral:rRNA from 1 species